rnacentral:rRNA from 1 species
GUGGGGGAUAUUGCACAAUGGAGGAAACUCUGAUGCAGCGACGCCGCGUGAGUGAAGAAGUAUUUCGGUAUGUAAAGCUCUAUCAGCAGGGAAGAUAAUGACAGUACCUGACUAAGAAGCCCCGGCUAACUACGUGCCAGCAGCCGCGGUAAUACGUAGGGGGCAAGCGUUAUCCGGAUUUACUGGGUGUAAAGGGAGCGUAGACGGAAUGGCAAGUCUGAAGUGAAAUCCUGCGGCUUAACUGCAGAAUUGCUUUGGAAACUGUCAAUCUGGAGUGUUGGAGAGGUAAGCGGAAUUCCUGGUGUAGCGGUGAAAUGCGUAGAUAUCAGGAAGAACACCGGAGGCGAAGGCGGCUUACUGGACAAUAACUGACGUUGAGGCUCGAAAGCGUGGGAAGCAAACAGGAUUAGAAACCCCGGUAGUCC